rnacentral:rRNA from 1 species
CCUACGGGUGGCAGCAGUGGGGAAUAUUGGUCAAUGGGCGCAAGCCUGACCCAGCCACGCCGCGUGAAGGAAGACGGCCUUCGGGUUGUAAACUUCUUUUGACAGGGAAGAAUAGAAGACGAUACCUGCCGAAUAAGCCACGGCUAACUACGAGCCAGCAGCCGCGGUAAUACGGAGGUCGCAAGCGUUGUCCGGAUUUACUGGGUGUACCGGGAGUGUAGCCGGGUUGACAAGUCAGAUGUGAAAGCCUGCGGCUUAACCGGAGAAGUGCAAUUGAAACUGUCAGUCUUGAGUACAGUUGAGGUAGGCGGAAUUCGUGGUGUAGCGGUGAAAUGCGUAGAUAUCACGAAGAACACCGAUGGCGAAGGCAGUUUACUAAACAGCAACUGACGGUGAGGCGCGAAAGCGUGGGUAGCAAACAGGAUUAGAUACCCGGGUAGUC